UUUUUUUGUGGAUGUUUUGGCAAAUGAUAAUGAUGAUUAUAAGAAAAAUGUUUUCGAGACAACUCAAACUAUCAGAGCUGCGUAUUUACAAAAUCAUUUGGAGCAUAUAAUUGAGACGAUGAAUAAUAACACCGAUUUCUGCAUACUUAAUUUUUUGUUUGCUGUACCAGACAAAAUCUUAAUUGUCGAUAAAAUAACGG